CUUUUUGUUUAUCAUGGUAAAAAUGCAUAGCAUAAAAUGUAUUAUCUUAACCAUUUUUAAGUGUACAGUUCUGUAGUGUUAAGUAUAUUUACAUUGCUAUGCAACAGAGCUCCACAACUUUUUCAUGUUGCAAAACUGAAACUCUAUACAUGUUAAACAACACCUCUGCCUUUUCUCCUCUCCACUGUAGACCUGAAAUCUUUGUUUUUCCUAUUGACAAGGGCUUGGUCCGUCUGUUGGCCAGGAAGUCCCGAUACUUCAGGUUGUAGCUCUGCCCUCUGCCUUAAUGCCUGUCCCCAUGAUCAGUUUCCACCUCCAUGUCUCCCCACCUCUGCCUGUCAACCAAAACCUCACAAAUCCUGGGGUUCAGAGCCCCCAUAUCCCUGCCCUGCCCACAUUACUCUGACUGGACCUCACUGGACAGCCUCACUGAGCCCAAGUUCUAGAGCUUGCUCCACGUACUCUUUGUCUAAGCGUCUACUUCCUCCUUCUCAGAAGGCCCACGGACAGCUCCACCAUGCAGGUGUGACCUGCAGUUACCUUCACCUUCUGGGUCUGUAGCUCCUGGGUCUGCAGCCCCCAACCCCCCCGAAGGCAAGCCCUGGGUCUUCUUUCCCUCACGUCUCCUCAGAAAUUCCAUGGGAUUUGACUUGGCCCAGGAGACAUGGGAGAUCUGGCUAUGAGAAAAGGGACUAGGACUCCCUGUUGCAUCAUCUCCUCAGUCUCGGGUGAAAGGCAGCAGAGUAGAAGAAAGGCACCGGUGAAGUUUAUUUGGCUCACAGUUCUGGAGGCUGGGAAGUCCAAGAGCAUGGCAUUGGCAUCUGGCGAGGCCCUCGUGCUGCAUUAUCCCAUGGAAGAGCAGAAGGGCAACUUCCAAACAGUUUCAUAAUGAGGUCCUGAAGGCCCACAAUGAGUACCGGCAGAAGCACGGCGUCCCCCCACUGAAGCUCUGCAAGAAGCUCAACCGGGAGGCUCAACAGUAUUCUGAGGCCCUGGCCAGCACGAGGAUCCUGAAGCACAGCCCGGAGUCCAGCCGUGGCCAGUGUGGGGAGAACCUUGCAUGGGCAUCCUAUGAUCAGACAGGAAAGGAGGUGGCUGAUAGAUGGUACAGUGAAAUCAAGAACUAUAACUUCCAGCAGCCUGGCUUCACCUCGGGGACUGGGCACUUCACGGCCAUGGUAUGGAAGAACACAAAGAAGAUGGGCGUGGGGAAGGCGUCCGCAAGUGACGGGUCCUCCUUUGUGGUGGCCAGAUACUUCCCAGCGGGGAAUGUUGUCAAUGAGGGCUUCUUCGAAGAAAACGUCCUGCCGCCAAAGAAGUAACUUGUUAAAUGUAAUGGGAAGGUGGCAGACUUAAGAACAUGGAUAUGAAGUGCCUACAACCACCAAAACCUGGCUGUGCGUCUGUCCCUGUGGGUGUAUGUGCUUGUGUGUGUGAUGCAUGUGAGCAUCUCUGGCACACACACUUGGACAUACAGUUCUGUGUGCGCUCAUUCUUAUUACAGGAGUGAGCAAAGGAAGCAUUUACCCCGAUGGUUACCUAGACCACGAUUAUUUGGAUUGGGGGGAGGGGGGAUCCGUUUUUUUUUUAAUUUUUUGUUAUUGCUAAGCAAACCUCUUUUGUACUUUUCUUACUUCUAAUAUCCAUCCCUGGACUUUUUGUAUUCCAAAUGUUUGUGAUGCUGAGAAGUGAAGUUCAUUUUAUGUGAUCUUCAUGCGUCGUAAUCUACUUUUGGUAGAUAAUUAAGAUUAUUAAACCCUCAUUUAAAUGUGACAUAAAAUACAGCUUUAAGCACAUAAAUAUAAAGCAGCUUCCAUCAGGAACAUGGAGCAGGCAGGGACUCCAUUUUACAGAAUUACUGAGAUUUCUCAGUUGUAAAACAUGAUGUCAUCCUGCAUGCCUCCUGGAAUUCUCCAAUGGGGUCGCCAAAGAACAAAUGGAGAAAAAAAGUUUUACUUCCUUGCAUUCUUCUACCUUUAAAUAGCAAAGUACCACUACUACCACCACCUCUUGCCCCCUUCCCUCUUUUCUUAAACUUCUGGCAUUUCAGAGCUCAGCAGGCUACCCCUGGUUUCUGGAGAGUUGGGCUAGGCCUGAAGCUGCCCCUCCCCCACCUCUGCUAGGCAGCCCAGGCCUGGUCUGGGAGACAGCCCCUCACCCUGCCUGGGCUCUUGGCCAAGCGGCCUUGGAUGGAUGAAGUCAGAGAGGUGGGGUGAGGGUGAGCUUACUCAGGGCCCCCAGAGGAAGCCCUCAGCCUCUGCCCUCCCCCUACACAGGGCGGGAGCCCAGGCCUGUUCCUGGCAGCUGUGGCUGCAGCUGUGCUCCUGCUCCCUCCUGGAAUGUGCGACAAGCCCAAAUGUUCCAGGGAGACGGCCUGGGCAGGGGGCUUAGAAAUGCUAAUAUGGUUCUGUGUUUUGCCUGAAACGAUACCAGGUUCCCCUGAAUAGCAACUUUACAAGGUCCAUGUGGGAGGGACCAACCCAGAUGCCCUGCUGAGUGUCCCUGAAACCAUGGCAGCUCCAUCUGUCAAGAUGGCAGGGGCCGGAGUGAGGGGGCUGCUGGCUUAACAGCAGGCAUCUGGGCAGGCCAGUCCUCAAAGCAGCUCCUGAAGGUCUGUGUUGCACUGUCACCAGUCUCAAGCUAUGCCUCUAAUUUCACCAGGGAUAUUGACUAAGAAGACAAUAAAAUCUUUUUCUUUGU
rnacentral:sRNA from 1 species